ensembl:snRNA U6 U6 spliceosomal RNA
UUGCUUCGGCAGCAAAUAUACUAAAAUUGGAACGAUACAGAGAAGAUUAGCAUGGCCCUUGCACAAAGAUGACAUAUAAAUUCGUGAAGCGUACCCUAUUUUA